rnacentral:ncRNA from 1 species
UUUUCUGCGAUGAUAAAGGAGAGUACAUCUUGUAAAGUUUGGAGGCUUGUUCAAAAAAGGAGGGAUAUGUUCCCUUACAUUUGACCUUCCUCAAUUAGAGAGUCUGUGAUUGGUGGGACACAGAUAGCGGCGCUUGAUGGAAUGGGCUUUUGAGCAUCUAAACCGAAACUAGCUUCAUGCUUUAGUAGGCUUUGGCGUAUGUCCUAACGUUACCUUGGACACUGUAUCGCAUAAUCUGCUGUACAGCUAUGAGUGAUUCUAAGCAAUUAGAGUAAUUAGGGUGGCACCACGGUCCAUCGUCCCUAUA